rnacentral:rRNA from 1 species
UACGGGGGUGGCAAGCGUUGUUCGGAAUUACUGGGCGUAAAGGGCGCGUAGGCGGUUCUCUAAGUCGGAUGUGAAAACUCUGGGCUCAACCCAGAGCCUGCAUCCGAAACUGGAGUGCUAGAGUUCUGGAGGGGGUAGCGGAAUUCCUGGUGUAGCGGUGAAAUGCGUAGAUAUCAGGAGGAACACCGGUGGCGAAGGCGGCUACCUGGACAGAAACUGACGCUGAGGCGCGAAAGCUAGGGGAGCAAACAGG